rnacentral:rRNA from 1 species
GCUUGCUUCUUGGGUGACGAGCGGCGGACGGGUGAGUAACGCGUGGGAAUCUACCUGGUAGUGGGGGACAACAGUCGGAAACGACUGCUAAUACCGCAUACGCCCUUCGGGGGAAAGUGGGGGAUCUUCGGACCUCACGCUAUCAGAUGAGCCCGCGUCGGAUUAGCUUGUUGGUGAGGUAAAGGCUCACCAAGGCGAUGAUCCGUAGCUGGUCUGAGAGGAUGACCAGCCACACUGGGACUG